rnacentral:rRNA from 1 species
AGCGAACGCUGGCGGCAGGCUUAACACAUGCAAGUCGAGCGGGCAUCCUUGUGGUGUCAGCGGCAGACGGGUGAGUAACGCGUGGGAACGUGCCCUUCGGUUCGGAAUAACUCAGGGAAACUUGAGCUAAUACCGGAUACGUGCGAGAGCAGAAAGGUUUAUCUGCCGAAGGAUCGGCCCGCGUCUGAUUAGCUAGUUGGUGAGGUUACGGCUCACCAAGGCUACGAUCAGUAGCUGGUCUGAGAGGAUGAUCAGCCACACUGGGACUGAGACACGGCCCAGACUCCUGCGGGAGGCAGCAGUGGGGAAGAUUGGACAAUGGGGGCAACCCGGAGCCAGCCAGGCCGCGUGAGUGAUGACGGCCUUAGGGUUGUAAAGCUCUUUUCUCCGGGACGAUAAUGACGGUACCGGAGGAAUAAGCCCCGGCUAACUUCGUGC